rnacentral:rRNA from 1 species
CCUACGGGAGGCAGCAGCAGGGAAUAUUGCACAAUGGGCGCAAGCCUGAUGCAGCGACGCCGCGUGAGGGAUGAAUGCCUUCGGGUUGUAAACCUCUUUCAGGAGGGACGAAGCGAAAGUGACGGUACCUCCAGAAGAAGCCCCGGCCAACUACGUGCCAGCAGCCGCGGUAAU